UUUGCCCUACGGGACGCAGCAGUGGGGAAUAUUGCACAAUGGGGGGAACCCUGAUGCAGCAACGCCGCGUGAAGGAAGAAGUAAUUCGUUAUGUAAACUUCUAUCAACGGGGAAGAAAGAGAUGACGGUACCCGAGUAAGAAGCCCCGGCUAAUUACGUGCCAGCAGCCGCGGUAAUACGUAAGGGGCGAGCGUUAUCCGGAAUUACUGGGUGUAAAGGGUGAGUAGGCGGCUGGGCAAGUCAUAUGUGAAAUACCGGGGCUCAACUUCGGGGCUGCAUAAGAAACUGUCCAGCUAGAGUGCAGG
rnacentral:rRNA from 1 species